UACAUACAGAGACACUAUUCCACAAUGGAGGAGGCUGUAGAAGCAGAGAGUGCUGGUGAUGAAUACAUGAUAAUGGAUGCAGACAAAUGGUCGGAACUUGACGAUAUUUAUGAAAACGGAGAUACACCUGGUCUUGAUUUAAGAAGACAAAACGGUUCAGGAGGACUUGAAUCAGGCCCUGAUUCAAGAGAACAUAAGAAAGAAGAGCUGAGAAGUGAGAAGAGUGGGAAGAGUGCUGCUAGGAGAGCACUGCAAAACACCCCAUACCCAAACACAGCACAAUCUCGCAUUCACCCUCUACCCGAAAGAUACAUGACUAUCAGACGCCUUCCCGUAAAGGCAAACAGAGGACCAGGAUCGAAGCAACCACCCAGAUUAGUUUUUUUCAGGUAUGCAACGGUGUGUCUGGUGUUGCUGUGUAUUCUGUUAAUCGGAGGGCUGCUUGGUCUGAGCUUCUACUAUGACAGAUUAUCUGAGACUCAUAAGAGCAUUACUAAAAAAGUAGAGUCACUACAGGAGGAAAACAAGAACUUGGCAGCGAAAAAUGACCGUCUGAUACAAAUCUUGGGCUAUAUAUACCAAGUUUCCACCACAGAAGAUUACGAUUGUUCAACUGAGAGUGACGUGAUCAUAGUAAAUGAUGAAGCACUUAAGCAAAUGGAAGGGAACUCAUUCCAUCUAGGUCGCAGGAACUUGACAGAUGAUGGAUGCAACAUGAUCUCCUCCUGGAAUUGCACAAAUAACUUUCACCGAAACCAGACAUGACCUGGGAUGAAGUCACAUAAGGCAACAGGAAAGGGAAACGCUGCUUCCUGUGGAAGAAUGGGUGGAGGGGGCAGUUGUCACUCUGAGUGUACCCGACUCUGUGUUUGUGUGUUUGUGUGUGUGUGUGUGUGUGUAUACAGUGCUCUGAAUAUAUAUGUGUGAGUUUAUACAGCACGUCCAUCUGUCUUUUCUACUAGACAGAUGGACGUGCUUUCUACUGUUGUCUCAGGGGUUACUGGUUCAUCUCGACCCGGUGUUGACACAACUGGCUUUGGGUGGUCACUGGAGCUGCCCCCUGGGCCCCCAUGUUGACACCACUCAUUGUUGAACAUGGUUCCUAACACCAGUGAUUUGUAAGUGGGAGAAUUUAGGCCAUGGGUCCUGCUCUCUCUUGGCUACACUUUUGUCACACGAACAAUAGUUACUGUAUGAUGGUGAAAGUGAAGUGUCUUUACCACAUUUUCCUGUGUAAGGGUUGGGUUGUUUUUGUCCGUUUAGGAGGUAAUGGACUGAACAUGUUUAGUUAUUAUGCUGUUUGAUAGUUUUGUAGCAUUUACAAUGCUAUGUGACUGUCAUUGAUGAAUUCAUGCAAAAACUAAAAUGUGACAACAAAUUGGAAAUAUAGGGCAGUGUAUGGGUUUGUGGUGGGAGAAACACAAACAGGGUCGGGGAUUGAUACCAUGAGGGGUUAAAAGAACUAGCAGAGCAGAGCACCGUAGGACAACAGAGUUGAUAUAGAAUAAUGUCCUCAGCUCCACUUAUUAGUAAGCAGCAGACCUCGACAGACUACAGUAAGGUACGGGAGGGCAGGGA